rnacentral:lncRNA from 1 species
AGACCCUCGAUCCCAUAACACUACGCUUCUUCAGUUGCCUUCCAUUUUUCUCACAGAAGUAAAGUGAUUUUCAGUUGUCCUUACUUUCCCCUGAGUGCCACAGCAGAUAUUUAUGGCUGAAUAAAUACAUUCUCCCCUGCAACCUCUGUUUGUGUUUUGCUCUCUCCAGCAGCUGCACAUCUGUUUCUGUUGAGCAGUCACCUGCGCGUGAUGCAGAAAGCACCGGAGUGACUUUGCUGUGAGCAACCAGAGCAAGAACUUGGGAGAGCCGGACUCUGGGAGUCUGUGAAGAUGGACUAUAUUUUUGGCAUAACAUCACUGACAGGAGUGUCUUGGGAGCUACAAAACAAUUUACAAAAUAUAUCAAGGCCAUCAGUGGUGCAGAGACCAUGCACCAAGCAAUGCUCAUUCUCCAGAUGUGCUCAGAGGUGGCCGGGCAGCCAAGGAGCAGACAUCCCUGCACUGACCCUGCACUGGCAGCAUCCUGGUGGCCUGGACCGAGGGAAGUAAGCAGGCAAUAAGAGCAGCCGGCACUUUGAAAAAGUGAUGGUAGGCCAGGUGGGGUCAGCAGAAAAAUAUUUAUAGUGGAAAUGGUGGAGCUUCCUUUGCACAGCUGACUUUUGUUGUGAUUCUGUUGUCUUUAGGAAGAUGAAACUCCAGUAAGCGAUCCUGCAUCUCAACAGAGUUGUCAGCAAAUGACUUCUGUCCCAAUGUUUUGGUGCCAUUUUUCCUGAGCUGCCUGUGUAAUCGAUGGUGAAUCUUUACAUGCCCAGAGUGAGUUACUCAAAUCCAAAGCCGUUCUGGAAAUGGUCUGUCUGACAGCCUUUUUAUUGGCAAAGAAGCUAUUUAAAUGAGAAACCUGUGUGAGAGAUGAACUGGCUGCCCCGUGCGAUGGCAAGCGGAAGCUGAUGAAUUCUGCUCGGGCAACCAGGUGACCUUUCUGCUUUCCACUCUAAUUACUUUCCUGUCAGAUGUUCAAUUAGAGUGACAGGGUCCCAAAUUCCCAACGAUCUCUGUUUUGUCUUAGAAGAUUAAAGGGUGGCAACUAUUUUCAAUAUGAUUAUCAUCAUUAUCUCUGGGAGAUUUUAUACUUCUGAAGUCAAAGUCAUAAUAGCCCAGCUCACUGCAAUUAUUUGCAAAUUGCCUUAAUGUAUUUUCCAGAAGCUUUUCCUGCACUUUGUAAUUUAUUUAUUUGCUAAGCCAAUAGCACAUUAAAAUGCUAAAAUGUCUAUGAACCUAUAUGAAGCCUGGCUGAUGGUAACUUGCAUGGACUGUGCCAGCAUCCUAUUUACCCACCAGUAAUCUUAUACAUGUUUUGUUAAAAUGCCUUUAUGGAUGUUCCUUUAAGUAAAAUACCUUGAAGAAUUCCUCUUUUUUUUUUUUUCUUUUUUUUCUUUUUUUUUUUCUUUUUUUUUUUUUUCUGUUUGGAGAUGUUGCAGUAGUUCUCUAUUGUGGUAGAAAUGUUUGUGAAAUUAUUUGUACAAACCAGUAUAGGAAAAUACCAACAGACAGAAAACAUGGUCAGCUUCUCAAAAUAUGCCUUUUCUCUGGAAGCAUGUUUCUGAAGUGGGAGACUGACCCACCAAGGAAUGGAAACAGCAGUUUACUGGGAACCACACAGUGGGGCUCCAUUUUCUGUUGCAGGAACAAGCAGGUCUAAGAGCUACUGGGGUGUUUUUGGGUGCGCUCACUGAAUGCACUUUUUAUUCUCAAUGGGGAGUAGAGGAUGGAGAGAUGAUGUGCCCUGUGUAUUAAAUUGAAACUAACCCAAAUAGCUUAUAAAACACGCUCAGCUAAUUAUUCAGGAGUAAUUUACAGACCAAGAGUUACAUUGCAAUAAUUGUGAAUAAUGACUGAACCACAAAAAAAUGGUAGAUGGCUUGCAGGCAUUUUGUGAACAGAAAAUGAGGCUAAAUUCAUUGAAUAAAUUAAUUGCUAUGGAUUAUUCUUUCA